CCUACGGGUGGCUGCAGUGGGGAAUAUUGGACAAUGGGCGAAAGCCUGAUCCAGCCAUGCCGCGUGUGUGAAGAAGGCCUUCGGGUUGUAAAGCACUUUCAGUGGGGAAGAAAGCCUUGGGGCUAAUACCCUCGAGGAAGGACAUCACCCACAGAAGAAGCACCGGCUAACUCCGUGCCAGCAGCCGCGGUAAUACGGAGGGUGCGAGCGUUAAUCGGAAUUACUGGGCGUAAAGCGCGCGUAGGCGGUCUGAUAAGCCGGUUGUGAAAGCCCCGGGCUCAACCUGGGAACGGCAUCCGGAACUGUCGGGCUAAGGUGCAGGAGAGGAAGGUAGAAUUCCCGGUGUAGGGGUGAAAUGCGUAGGGAUCGGGAGGAAUACCAGUGGCGAAGGCGGCCUUCUGGACUGACACUGACGCUGAGGUGCGAAAGCGUGGGUAGCAAACGGGAUUAGAUACCGUGUAGUC
rnacentral:rRNA from 1 species